rnacentral:rRNA from 1 species
CUCUGUGACUCCUACGGGAGGCAGCAGUGGGGAAUAUUGCACAAUGGGCGCAAGCCUGAUGCAGCCAUGCCGCGUGUGUGAAGGAGGCCUUCGGGUUGUAAAGCACUUUCAGUUGUGAGGAAGGUGGUGUCGUUAAUAGCGGCAUCAUUUGACGUUAGCAACAGAAGAAGCACCGGCUAACUCCGUGCCAGCAGCCGCGGUAAUACGGAGGGUGCGAGCGUUAAUCGGAAUUACUGGGCGUAAAGCGCAUGCAGGUGGUUUGUUAAGUCAGAUGUGAAAGCCCGGGGCUCAACCUCGGAACUGCAUUUGAAACUGGCAGACUAGAGUACUGUAGAGGGGGUAGAAUUUCAGGUGUAGCGGUGAAAUGCGUAGAGAUCUGAAGGAAUACCGGUGGUGAAGGCGGCCCCCUGGACAGAUACUGACACUCAGAUGCGAAAGCGUGGGGAGCAAACAGGAUUAGAUACCCUGGUAG